AGAAGCAGGACUACCAGAAAAUCUACUCGCACUGGUGCAACGAGUUCGAGAAAUACAAAUCGGCCAUGAAGCAAUGGCAGGCCAAACAGGAGCAAUGCGGCCUCAAGGAUAAAACAGGACCAAUCAGCAGCAACGGCAAGCACGUGAACGAUGUGUUCAGCAAUGAUGCUUUGGUCUGACCCAGAAAGUACUUGUACAGCUUUGAGUUCUUGUCGUCGUCAACGGAGGGCGUGGCCACCGCCCACCGCAAAUUGUACAUUUUCGUGUUCGUGCUUACCAUAUUUGCUCGCUUCUAAAGUUUCUAGUUAAAAUGUAAAUGCGCAGAAAAGCAGUAAGCACCCAAGGAAAAUGCGGAGAACAACUAUCAAAAUGUGACAAGGGCCGAGCUGAGGAAAAACAAAACAAAAAAAAAACAAAAAAGAUAGAGGGAAAAAGGAAAAACCACUACAAAGACUGAAAUUUUUAAGCUUUUAAAAUCGACAAUAUUUCCGAUAAUUUCGAUGC